rnacentral:rRNA from 1 species
GGACGCUAAUACCGCAUACGUCCUACGGGAGAAAGCAGGGGACCUUCGGGCCUUGCGCUAUCAGAUGAGCCUAGGUCGGAUUAGCUAGUUGGUGAGGUAAUGGCUCACCAAGGCGACGAUCCGUAACUGGUCUGAGAGGAUGAUCAGUCACACUGGAACUGAGACACGGUCCAGACUCCUACGGGAGGCAGCAGUGGGGAAUAUUGGACAAUGGGCGAAAGCCUGAUCCAGCCAUGCCGCGUGUGUGAAGAAGGUCUUCGGAUUGUAAAGCACUUUAAGUUGGGAGGAAGGGCAGUAAAUUAAUACUUUGCUGUUUUGACGUUACCGACAGAAUAAGCACCGGCUAACUCUGUGCCAGCAGCCGCGGUAAUACAGAGGGUGCAAGCGCUAAUCGGAAUUACUGGGCGUAAAGCGCGCGUAGGUGGUUUGUUAAGUUGGAUGUGAAAUCCCCGGGCUCAACCUGGGAACUGCAUUCAAAACUGACUGACUAGAGUAUGGUAGAGGGUGGUGGAAUUUCCUGUGUAGCGGUGAAAUGCGUAGAUAUAGGAAGGAACACCAGUGGCGAAGGCGACCACCUGGACUAAUACUGACACUGA